rnacentral:rRNA from 1 species
UGCAGUCGAGCGGACCGACGGGAGCUUGCUCCCUUAGGUCAGCGGCGGACGGGUGAGUAACACGUGGGUAACCUGCCUGUAAGACUGGGAUAACUCCGGGAAACCGGGGCUAAUACCGGAUGCUUGAUUGAACCGCAUGGUUCAAUCAUGAAAGGCGGCUUCGGCUGCCGUUUACAGAUGGACCCGCGGCGCAUUAGCUAGUUGGUGAGGUAACGGCUCACCAAGGCGACGAUGCGUAGCCGACCUGAGAGGGUGAUCGGCCACACUGGGACUGAGACACGGCCCAGACUCCUACGGGAGGCAGCAGUAGGGAAUCUUCCGCAAUGGACGAAAGUCUGACGGAGCAACGCCGCGUGAGUGAUGAAGGUUUUCGGAUCGUAAAGCUCUGUUGUUAGGGAAGAACAAGUACCGUUCGAAUAGGGCGGUACCUUGACGGUACCUAACCAGAAAGCCACGGCUAACUACGUGCCAGCAGCCGCGGUAAUACGUAGGUGGCAAGCGUUGUCCGGAAUUAUUGGGCGUAAAGCGCGCGCAGGCGGUUUCUUAAGUCUGAUGUGAAAGCCCCCGGCUCAACCGGGGAGGGUCAUUGGAAACUGGGGAACUUGAGUGCAGAAGAGGAGAGUGGAAUUCCACGUGU